rnacentral:rRNA from 1 species
UACGGAGGAUCCGAGCGUUAUCCGGAUUUAUUGGGUUUAAAGGGUGCGUAGGUGGCCUGUUAAGUCAGGGGUGAAAGACGGUAGCUCAACUAUCGCAGUGCCUUUGAUACUGACGGGCUUGAAUACACUAGAGGUAGGCGGAAUGUGACAAGUAGCGGUGAAAUGCAUAGAUAUGUCACAGAACACCAAUUGCGAAGGCAGCUUACUAUGGUGCAAUUGACACUGAGGCACGAAAGCGUGGGGAUCAAAC